GAGCGUACACUGAGCGCUCGCCACAGCUUUCCCUCCUUUCAACCGCCUGUGUAUUUUAACUUAGACUUGAAGUGGGAAGCUGGCUCUGUAUGAGGUCUGCAUAGGAAAGUAAAACUGGACUGUUUGCUGAGUUACCAAACGCCGUUCAACAGUAUACGCUUAUGUCAGCGGCUGGGAUUAGUUACUCCGUUUUGAUUUUGGAAGCCACGAGCCAUGGCCAUGUAGGUUUAAAAGAAAGCCUACAUUAGGAGAAACCUCCCGGGGUAAGAGAUUGAACCAUCAGCCAAAACAUGGUCCUCAUGAAUAACUGCCAUGGAAGGAUGCUCCUCCUGCCAAUUGGCACUUAUCAAUGACAUCGAGGGAGAGGGACAGAGUGCCUAGGUAUGAGCCUUCAUCAAGUGGUAUGAAGGCCCUACCCCAACAGAAAGUGCUCAUGUGAAGAAAUGAUGCUUUGGACAAGACUUUCCUCCAAGUUGGUCCUAUCCAGGGGUUGGCAAAUAGGGUCCCUGGACAUCAUCCUUGUUGCGUACUCUUAUGAAUAAAGUUCUAUAGGACACA
rnacentral:lncRNA from 1 species